rnacentral:rRNA from 1 species
UACGUAGGGGGCAAGCGUUGUCCGGAUUUAUUGGGCGUAAAGAGCGUGUAGGCGGUUCGGUAGGUCCGUUGUGAAAACUCGAGGCUCAACCUCGAGACGCCGAUGGAAACCAUCGAACUAGAGUCCGGAAGAGGAGAGUGGAAUUCCGUGGUGUAGCGGUGAAAUGCGCAGAUAUCAGGAAGAACACCCGUGGCUAAGGCGGCUCUCUAGUACGGUACUGACGCUGAGACGCGAAAGCGUGGGGAGCGAACAGG